rnacentral:rRNA from 1 species
AGCUAGUUGGUGGGGUAAUGGCCCACCAAGGCGACGAUCAGUAGCUGGUCUGAGAGGAUGAUCAGCCACACUGGGACGGAGACACGGCCCAGACUCCUACGGGAGGCAGCAGUGGGGAAUUUUCCGCAAUGGGCGAAAGCCUGACGGAGCAACGCCGCGUGAGGGAUGAAGGCCUCUGGGCUGUAAACCUCUUUUCUCAAGGAAGAAGACAUGACGGUACUUGAGGAAUAAGCCACGGCUAAUUCCGUGCUAGCAGCCGCGGUAAUACGGGAGUGGCAAGCGUUAUCCGGAAUUAUUGGGCGUAAAGCGUCCGCAGGCGGCCUUGUAAGUCUGUCGUUAAAGCGUGGAGCUUAACUCCAUUUAAGCGAUGGAAACUACAAGGCUUGAGUGUGGUAGGGGCAGAGGGAAUUCCCGGUGUAGCGGUGAAAUGCGUAGAUAUCGGGAAGAACACCAGUGGCGAAGGCGCUCUGCUGGGCCAUAACUGACGCUCAUGGACGAAAGCCAGGGGAGCGAAAGGGAUUAGAUACCCCUGUAGUCCUGGCCGUAAACGAUGAACACUAGGUGUCGGGGGAAUCGACCCCCUCGGUGUCGUAGCUAACGCGUUAAGUGUUCCGCCUGGGGAGUACGCACGCAAGUGUGAAACUCAAAGGAAUUGACGGGGGCCCGCACAAGCGGUGGAGUAUGUGGUUUAAUUCGAUGCAACGCGAAGAACCUUACCAGGGUUUGACAUCCUGCGAAUCCCUUGGAAACUUGGGAGUGCCUUCGGGAGCGCAGAGACAGGUGGUGCAUGGCUGUCGUCAGCUCGUGUCGUGAGAUGUUGGGUUAAGUCCCGCAACGAGCGCAACCCACGUCUUUAGUUGCCAGCAUUCAGUUGGGCACUCUAGAGAGACCGCCGGUGAUAAACCGGAGGAAGGUGUGGAUGACGUCAAGUCAUCAUGCCCCUUACAUCCUGGGCUACACACGUACUACAAUGCUACGGACAAAGGGCAGCAAGCUCGCGAGAGUUAGCAAAUCCCAUAAACCGUGGCUCAGUUCAGAUCGUAGGCUGCAACUCGCCUACGUGAAGGAGGAAUCGCUAGUAAUCGCAGGUCAGCAUACUGCGGUGAAUACGUUCCCGGGCCUUGUACACACCGCCCGUCACACCAUGGAAGUUGGCCAUGCCCGAAGUCGUUACUCCAACCCUUGUGGAGGAGGACGCCGAAGGUGGGGCUGAUGACUGGGGUGAAGUCGUAACAAGGUAGCCGUACCGGUAGGUGCGGCUG